UACGUAGGGGGCAAGCGUUGUCCGGAUUUAUUGGGCGUAAAGCGCGUGUAGGCGGUUUGGUAGGUCCGCUGUGAAAACUCGAGGCUCAACCUCGAGACGCCGGUGGAAACCAUCAGACUAGAGUCCGGAAGAGGAGAGUGGAAUUCCUGGUGUAGCGGUGAAAUGCGCAGAUAUCAGGAAGAACACCCGUGGCUAAGGCGGCUCUCUAGUACGGUACUGACGCUGAGACGCGAAAGCGUGGGGAGCAAACAGG
rnacentral:rRNA from 1 species